CAGAGGGUGCAAGCGUUAAUCGGAAUUACUGGGCGUAAAGCGUGCGUAGACGGUUACGUAAGUCGGAUGUGAAAGCCCCGGGCUCAACCCGGGAAUUGCAUUCGAGACUGCGUAGCUAGGGUGCGGAAGAGGGAAGCGGAAUUUCCGGUGUAGCGGUGAAAUGCGUAGAUAUCGGAAGGAACAUCAGUGGCGAAAGCGGCUUCCUGGUCCAGCACCGACGUUCAGGCACGAAAGCGUGGGGAGCAAACAGGAUUAGAUACCCUGGUAGUCCACGCCAUAAACGAUGAGAACUAGACGUUGAGAGGGUAAGCCUCGCAGUGUCGCAGCUAACGCGUUAAGUUCUCCGCCUGGGGAGUACGGCCGCAAGGUUG
rnacentral:rRNA from 1 species